rnacentral:rRNA from 1 species
CAGCCGCCGCGGUAAUACGAAGGGUGCAAGCGUUAAUCGGAAUUACUGGGCAUAAAGCGUGCGUAGGCGGUUUGUUAAGUCUGCUGUGAAAUCCCCGGGCUCAACCUGGGAAUGGCAGUGGAUACUGGCAAGCUAGAGUGUGUCAGAGGAUGGUGGAAUUCCCGGUGUAGCGGUGAAUGCGUAGAGAUCGGAAGGAACAUCUGUGGCGAAGGCGACUAUCUGGGCCAACACUGACACUGAGGCACGAAAGCGUGGGGAGCAAACAGGAUUAGAUACCCGCGUAGUCCCUGUCUCUUAUACC